rnacentral:rRNA from 1 species
AACGAACGCUGGCGGCAUGCCUAACACAUGCAAGUCGAACGAGACCUUCGGGUCUAGUGGCGCACGGGUGCGUAACGCGUGGGAACCUGCCCUUAGGUUCGGAAUAACUCCCCGAAAGGGGUGCUAAUACCGGAUAAUGUCUUCGGACCAAAGAUUUAUCGCCUUUGGAUGGGCCCGAGUUGGAUUAGCUAGUUGGUAGGGUAAAAGCAUACCAAGGCGACGAUCCAUAGCUGGUCUGAGAGGAUGAUCAGCCACACUGGGACUGAGACACGGCCCAGACUCCUACGGGAGGCAGCAGUGGGGAAUAUUGGACAAUGGGCGAAAGCCUGAUCCAGCAAUGCCGCGUGAGUGAUGAAGGCCUUAGGGUUGUAAAGCUCUUUUAACCGGGAUGAUAAUGACAGUACCGGGAGAAUAAGCUCCGGCUAACUCCGUG